UUUGCUAAGUUAUUUUAGGUGCCUGCCAUUCAGGAUUUAACAGUAUGUUGUACAAUGUAUAAGCUUACAUAGUGUGGAAUGCUGACAUAGCUUUCUGUGUGAAAUUUUCAAUAUUAGGGCCAUGUAAUGUAUUCAGCAAACAUAAUGCAGUUUGUCUGGCAUCUGCUGCAGAACAUGUUGCAUAAUAUAAUGAAAAAAAUAUUAUUUUUGUUGUGCAUGUCACCAGAAAGUGUCAGCCACUGCAGCUUCAGUGUAGUGUUCAGAGGUGUUCUGCAAUGACUACAAAGAAGCCUUGUACUACAUUAUGGGAGAUGGUACGGCUUUAAAACCAGACUAGAAUAACUUUGUGAUACAAAUCAUCAAGUUGGAGAAAUAAACUGCUUAACUUGUAAAUAGGUUUGUACAGACAAUCAGUGUUACACUAUGAUUAGCUCUGAGCAGGUGGGUCAGGAGUCUCCAGCUGGAUGGCUGCUGCUGGGGCUGUGGUCGCGCCUGCGUGGUCGCCUUCUCGAAGGUCGAAUCCUCUACAUGUGGCUGCAUUCUCAAAUAAGCUUCCAGGUGUGUGGGUCCUCGGUGUUGCAGCUGAGCGGGCCCUGGGCUCCUCUGGACACUGUGGUUACAGAGAUUUGGCUGAAGAUGCUUGCGGUUCACGGGCAAAAAUUCAGCCCUGUGAGCUGAAAAUUCAUCAUUCUUCCACAAGAAUGUCUAUUUGCCUAUUAUAUAAUGGAAUGCAAAGGAAUACUCUCUUGCCCUCUGGUUUAAUUUUCUGUUAACAGCUGUAACGUACAGGGGAAAUUCUUUUCAUCCUUAGGCUUCGUUGUAUACCUUCCUGUUAAUUAAGAAAUGGCAGCCUCAGGUUUAAUGACCAUUGUGGCACUAAGGAGUGUGUGAAACAGAUGAAAAUGUUGCUAUUUUCAUGUCUGCAAUAACCAGAUUUCCAUAUCCUGAAUCCCGGCUCCUCUGCCUAGUAUAUGUUAUUUAGAGAGCCCAAAUGCCAUCACUAAUAAGGCCACUAUGCAAGGAAUACUGGCAUUUCUUGGCACAAUAACUGUGAUUAAAAAUACAGUUUCUUCAGUUUUCUCCAGGCAAAACUGAGAAAAGACUGUUGUGGUAAAAUUCAGUAUUUGACAGAGGAGAAAGAGCAAACUAGGCAGUGAAAUAAAAUAAUUUUCAAACCCUAGGAAUGUAUUUUAAUUGCAAAGGAAGAAUAUUCACAUUUUUCUCGUUUUGAUCCAUUAGCAAUAAUCUCCGAAGAAGGCUCUGACUGAUAGCAAGGUUGGCUUGAGGAAGGAAAAGCAAAUGAAAAGAGAUUUUUAUUAAAUUUAAUAAGGACGAAUUUAUCACAGGAAACAUGAGUAUGAAUCAGCUACCUCACAAAGGUAGCCUUAGUAAAUCAGAUAGGAAACAAAUGUAAAUUACAGAAUUAUAAUAAAAAUGCUGGAAUGUUUUCUUAGAGGCAACAUAAUCCAGUUCUGUGACCCAAGCUGUAACUUCACUGCUUGUGAUACAUCCUUCUCUGUCUAGAGUGAUGGAGACUGCACCUGCCAACUCUUCAGUUGCUGGAUUGUCAUCACACUUAAUGAGUUUCCUAAUGCUUAAUUGAACUUGUGUUGCUGUAACUUAAGCCUUUUCAUUUUUUCAGCUUUUGUAGGCACAGAGAACAAUUUGUUUCCUUUCUUUCCUGCGUAGUCUUUGUCAUGUGUGAAGGUUGUGACCACAAUUCUUCUCCAUCCUCUCUGCACUAAAUAACCCCCUUCCUUCCAAGCCUUCUCCAUGGGCCACGUACUCUGGAAGUCUGAUCAUUCUUCUGUUCUUCUGGGUUUCCUCCACAUCUCUUGAGCUGCUGGUAGUUUUGAUGAAGUCUUACCAGGGGGAAGUGGUUUGGGCAGAUUCCUGUGUGUUCUGUGCAAGGCUCAUGUUAAGUGCCUCGGCAUCGUAGUUGCUUUCUCUGCAGCUGUAUGAUAUUGUUGACUCACAGUGGGCUUGUAAAUGAAAUGACAACUUAUGCUUAAAUUCUGUUUGUGGUAUUUCACAUGCCGAAACAAAGACAGCUGGCAUUUAGUGUUACUCUCGGUAAUCUCGUGUCUCAUUUUCUUAUUCAAGCAUUUAACACAAGUUGCCUUUUACAGAGGGAAGUAUUUAAAUGCUGCCCAUAAUGAGGAAGAGCAGUUGGGAGCUGAACAGAUCCCUUAGUAGUUGUCCUGAAUUUCUGAAUCUGUAAUGUCUCAGAAGACUCAUUAUUAAUAUCCAAAAAUAGGUAGGUUUUAAAUACAUCUAUUCGGUGCUGUUUUAAAAUUCAAUCUCCCUGAAAACUGGUGCAGUAAAACGAGGGGAAAAAUAAGAAAAAAAAAAGACUGCUACAAUAUUCUGUUCAGUACUGUAAAAAUAUAAAUGUACCAAGGUGGAUCUCUGUAAUUCAAACAAAUUAUUACAAGGUCCACUUUAUGAAGUGUUUCUCAGGGUUUGUAAUGUUAAUUUGACAAGAUCCCUAAUAGCCUGGUGGAGAUGUGAGGUUUUUAAGAUUAGUUCUCAAGAAUGAGUUAUGAAAAUGUUAGGGGUUUUGAUCAAUGUAUGCUGCAAUAUCUGCUGUGUUUUCUUCAUCUUGUAAAAGAGAGGAGAAGUGCUUGGUAAUUCCAUUAUAAUGCUGAAAGUGCUCAGCAUGGAGAGGAGGUUGACAAACACAAAUCCAAAAUACAUCUUUCAUUGGAAGUACCCCUACUGUCCUAUCUACUGUAUAUCCUACAUUAAGUUUUAUUGAAAACUCUUGGAAAGAAAACAUUACACAAUUCCUCUUAUCUUUUAAGAAAUGCUUUGAGUUUUUAUAUUUGUAUUUCAAUAAUGUUCUAUCAUUUCCCAAGUAUCGAUUGAAAUAUUAAACCUGCAAAUCUCCAUAUUUGAGAACUAUUCACUGAUAACAAGAAUUCCAGUUACUCACAGAACAUACACACUUUUGUUUUUCUUCUAGGAGCAUGGCUUUGUUACUCAUAGAUGUCCUUCAUUCCAAGGUAGACAUUGAAAAUGUGUGUUAUUUUGCUAUUUUGUGUUAGAAGACCUCAGCUUUAAUUUUAUUAAAAUCAGCAUAGAUGCCACUUGGAGUCAUAGAAUCAUAGAAUAGUUUGGGUUGGAAGGGAACUUAAAGAUCAUCCAGUUCCAACCUCCCUGUGAUGGGCAGAGACAUCACAGCCCUCUGUGGUAAUCUAAAAUCUCUGAUAGUUAAAAAAUGAGAAGGAAUGAGUUAAACAUGUUAAAGCCCUCUCAUCUUUAAAUCCAACACAUUUUCCUCCUCUACACUAUGUAUGAACACAACUGCUUUUCUUCACGUUUGUAUUUUAAGGGGAAUUACAAGUUAAACUCAUCCUUGGUGCAUGGUACAGAAAACGAGAUGCAUCAACCCCUGGAUCAAGAUUCUGUCCCUGUGCACGAGCAGGGAAACAGGAUGGCAGCUCCCUGCCCACGACUCCCACGGGAGCUGGGUGUGGUGAUCUGCCGGGGUUUGUGUCUGAUUCAUUAGACUCCCUGAAAUGUUCAUUCAGCGCUGAUGGAAGCCUGUUGUCAAACCUGCCAUCAGGCUUCCCGGGAGAGGAUAAGAAUGUUCACAUCACCAAAGCCUGAUGGAAAUGUGAAGCAUGGGGACAGCAGCUGCGUCGUGAGGCAGGGAAUCAUCCUACCUGGAACUUGCAGGCACAGAACAGAACUGCUCAAAAGCUAAAUAUGAAGCACCACCUGGAUAGCUGCAUUUGGAACUCAUCACAGAGCUUCAAGAAGCCCAUGGAUGGGCUGGAGAACAUCUUGAUGAGGGCAAUCAGGUGUCUGGAAAACCCAGCCUAUGAGGAUGGCUGGAAAGGAUUCAGCGUGUUCAGUCUAGAGCAGAGAAGGCGGAGAGGAGACCUGAUGACAGAUGGGCAAAAGGCUGAAGCAGGAAGAGAAAAACAAUGCUGCUGUUGACAGGACAAAAAGUCAUGGGCUUAAACUGCAGCUGGGGAGCAUCAGGAAACAUCUUCCAUUGCCAGAUGGCACAGACCAGUAAAGGCCAAAUAACUCACCAUUCCACAAAUCUAUGAUGGACUGGCCCCCAGAUGAAGUCAGGACGAUUGAAAACUUUUCCAUGCUGCUACAGGGCUGUGUUACUGGUCACCACCCAGUCAGAGAAGUGACAGGACUGGGAUGAGGGAAGCAAUGGCAGCACGUGAGACUGUUUCUCCUUACCAAGACCUAUUAAGACAUCUGAAUUGUUACCAAAUCACUUCCUGACAGCACACGCGGAGACAAAGCCUCCCCUUUCAGUAAACAGAGUUAAUGAUUCAAGUAUCGUCUCAUGCCCUCUGAUACACAAAUGAGGAACGUGUCAGAGUAACCAAUAAUUAUAGGAAACACUGAUUGUUAUCUGAACACCUAGUUAUUCCCAGACUGGCUUGUGGGGCUGUUUGUGACUACAACUUCCCCAUUCUCAGAGAGCAGGAAUGACGGAAGCACCAGUUCCUCUCAAGCGAUCUCUUAGACCACAACAGUGUGAUCGAAUCUGUUUGCAGACUUCAGGAUGCCACAUGCUGCUGCAAACUAUUCUGAUCAAGAGGUCUGCUUGCUGGUUUUGGACUUUUCCCAUUUAAGCUUUCCCAGGUACAAUUUUUACUUCAAGUGAGCUUACUAAGCAUAUUGGGUUAAGAUGUUUCUUCAGUAGCAUCAGUAAACUGAUCUUAGUACCAGCAGCAAGAGGCGUGCAACACUUCAGUGUCUUUUUAGAGUUGAUUUAUGUAAACAGGCCAGUUCCACCACUGCAGUAAAAUCCCACAUGAACUUGAAAAGCCUCUGAUUGUACCCAUUAUUGACGAAACCACAGACAACAGGAGAUGUAACUCAUCACAGACAGAGUUCUGACGACAAGGAAAAGUAAAGAACACCUUCCUGGAGCACCACAGAGCAGAACAGGGCACAGGACAUGAGAUGUGCACCCAGCCAGUUCUGCGUUUGGACACAGCUUGCUCACUGGCUCCCUCUGCUGAGCCACACUCAUUAAAUAUAUUAAUUAUCAACUGGGAGAUGGUGGAAGAGUAACCAGUGCUACUAACUUCCAUACUCUGUAGCCCAAGCCAGCAGUAGUGACAAAGAUGACCACAGCCCCUUGGUGCCAGUCCGCUAAGCCAGGCAUCCUGCAGGUAGAUCGAGCUUUUCAUUGGCUCCAGAGCACUUAAAGCCUGAUUCCUCUGUCCCAUUAAAUGUGGUGAGAACAUGACACAUAGGCUUCCACUUCAGCGAGGGCUUCAUUACUCCCUUUUCAUGAAAACUCUCUAUUCCCUGUCAAGUUUGACCCCACCAGCUCCUUUCAGCUAAGAAUUAAUAGGCAAACAGAUGGUGUGGUUACAUAAACCUCAUUUCCUGCAUAACUCUGGCGAAGAAGGAGCGCAAGCUUGCCAGGUUUGUUAGCAUGUACAUCCUCGAUUCUCUAAGAGCAGAACUACGACCCAAGCAUCCUCUUCCAGAUAUCUGGUAACUGACCUCAGAGAUAGAAAACACACAGCAUCAACUUUCUCAACUCACUUUCUUCCAGUUUCUGAGCUAGGAAAAAUAGUUGAGGCUCUGGAAGUCUCCCAGGAUAGAAAAAUACUCAAAAAAACACCUUCUGGUUUUUAACGCAUUUCAGAGCCUACAGAAUUAAGAAUUAUACUUUUGGUUUUUCAUCUAUGCAGGUGACGUUCGUCCGAACUUGAAGUAUUCUGUGCCACAGUGAUAAACAAUGAAUGGGAAAAAAAUAUGGGACUUGAGAAGGGACCUACAUUCUAAAUUUUGUUAUCGUGCCAGGGAUUAGUUACCCUGCAAAACUCUAUAGAAUAUUCCAUGUUUCCACUGCAAAAUGGAAGACAUAGGUCCUGAAAUGCCUCUAAAAACUUGCUAUAUUUGCUGAGGUAUAUGUAGUGAUGAUGGAUAAAAGCUGUAGACAAGCUUUAAAAUGCUAAUGAGUUACCCAGCAGCAGUUUUUUGUAAAGAACCAGGUCUUGGCAAAAAGAUACCUUGAAGCGUUGGUCUCGGCAGGAAGGGUGCAGAGGAACGAACCAGCUGGGUGUUUAUUCUGUGAUGGGUUAUCAAUCCAGUGUGUACAUCCUCUUUCCCUCCCCAAAAAAAUCUGCUUGAUUUUUUUCCCUCCCAACUCAUUUUUAGUUCAGAAAGUUGAAAUUCAAGUGCUAAUUCCUUUAAGGUUAUAUUAAAUAGGGGAAAA